rnacentral:rRNA from 1 species
UCAGAAUUGCUCAAUACUAACUCUUCUUAGGAACCUGCGGAAGGAUCAUUA